rnacentral:rRNA from 1 species
AGCCUGAUGCAGCGACGCCGCGUGAGGGAUGAAGGCCUUCGGGUUGUAAACCUCUUUCAGCAGGGAAGAAGCGCAAGUGACGGUACCUGCAGAAGAAGCGCCGGCUAACUACGUGCCAGCAGCCGCGGUAAUACGUAGGGCGCAAGCGUUGUCCGGAAUUAUUGGGCGUAAAGAGCUCGUAGGCGGUCUGUCGCGUCUGCUGUGAAAACUCGAGGCUCAACCUCGGGCUUGCAGUGGGUACGGGCAGACUAGAGUGCGGUAGGGGAGACUGGAAUUCCUGGUGUAGCGGUGGAAUGCGCAGAUAUCAGGAGGAACACCGAUGGCGAAGGCAGGUCUCUGGGCCGCAACUGACGCUGAGGAGCGAAAGCAUGGGGAGCGAACAGGAUUAGAUACCCUGGUAGUCCAUGCCGUAAACGUUGGGCACUAGGUGUGGGGCUCAUUCCACGAGUUCCGUGCCGCAGCAAACGCAUUAAGUGCCCCGCCUGGGGAGUACGGCCGCAAGGCUAAAACUCAAAGGAAUUGACGG